rnacentral:rRNA from 1 species
GAUCCUGGCUUAGGACGAACGCUGACGGCGUGCCUAACACAUGCAAGUCGAGCGAGGAGAUUCCUUCGGGAUGAUCCUAGCGGCGGACGGGUGAGUAACACGUGGGCAACCUGCCUCAUAGAGAGGAAUAGCCUUCCGAAAGGGAGAUUAAUACCUCAUAACAUUGCAGUUUCGCAUGGAACAGCAAUUAAAGGAGUAAUCCGCUAUGAGAUGGGCCCGCGGCGCAUUAGCUAGUUGGUGAGGUAACGGCUCACCAAGGCGACGAUGCGUAGCCGACCUGAGAGGGUGAUCGGCCACAUUGGGACUGAGACACGGCCCAAACUCCUACGGGAGGCAGCAGUGGGGAAUAUUCCGCAAUGGACGAAAGUCUGACGGAGCAACGCCGCGUGAGUGAAUGAAGGUUUUCGGACUGUAAAGCUCUGUUGUUUAGGACGAAAGUGCCUGUUGCGAACAGUUACAGGUAUUGACGGUACUGAACGAGGAAGCCACGGCUAACUACGUGCCAGCCGCUGC